CCUACGGGAGGCAGCAGUGGGGAAUCUUCCGCAAUGGGCGAAAGCCUGACGGAGCAACGCCGCGUGAGUGACGAAGGCCUUCGGGUUGUAAAACUCUGUCUUGAGGGACGAAGGAAGUGACGGUACCUCAGGAGGAAGCCCCGGCUAACUACGUGCCAGCAGCCGCGGUAAUACGUAGGGGGCAAGCGUUGUCCGGAAUUACUGGGCGUAAAGCGCGCGUAGGCGGGCUGUUAAGUCAGGUGUGAAAACCGCGGGCUCAACCUGGGGAGUGCACCUGAUACUGGCGGUCUUGAGGGCAGGAGAGGAAAGUGGAAUUCCUAGUGUAGCGGUGAAAUGCGUAGAUAUUAGGAGGAACACCAGUGGCGAAGGCGGCUUUCUGGCCUGCAACUGACGCUGAGGCGCGAAAGCGUGGGGAGCAAACAGGAUUAGAUACCCUAGUAGU
rnacentral:rRNA from 1 species